AGUGAACGCUGGCGGUAGGCCUAACACAUGCAAGUCGAACGGCAGCACAGUAAGAGCUUGCUCUUACGGGUGGCGAGUGGCGGACGGGUGAGGAAUACAUCGGAAUCUACUUUUUCGUGGGGGAUAACGUAGGGAAACUUACGCUAAUACCGCAUACGACCUACGGGUGAAAGCAGGGGAUCUUCGGACCUUGCGCGAUUGAAUGAGCCGAUGUCGGAUUAGCUAGUUGGCGGGGUAAAGGCCCACCAAGGCGACGAUCCGUAGCUGGUCUGAGAGGAUGAUCAGCCACACUGGAACUGAGACACGGUCCAGACUCCUACGGGAGGCAGCAGUGGGGAAUAUUGGACAAUGGGCGCAAGCCUGACCCAGCCAUACCGCGUGGGUGAAGAAGGCCUUCAGGUUGUAAAGCCCUUUUGUUGGGAAAGAAAAGCAGCAGGUUAAUACCCCGCUGUUCUGACGGUACCCAAAGAAUAAGCACCGGCUAACUUCGUG
rnacentral:rRNA from 1 species